GAUGAACGCUGGCGGCGUGCCUAACACAUGCAAGUCGAACGAAGCAUGGAAGACGGAAGUUUUCGGAUGGAAGUCAUCCAUGACUGAGUGGCGGACGGGUGAGUAACGCGUGGGCAACCUGUCUUACACAGGGGGACAACAGUUGGAAACGACUGCUAAUACCGCAUAAGCGCACAGCAGCACAUGCAGCAGUGUGAAAAGCAAUCGCAGUGUAAGAUGGGCCCGCGUCUGAUUAGGUAGUUGGUGUGGUAAAGGCGCACCAAGCCGACGAUCAGUAGCCGGCCUGGGAGGGUGGACGGCCUCAUUGGGACUGAGACACGGCCCAGACUCCUACGGGAGGCAGCAGUGGGGGAUAUUGCACAAUGGGCGAAAGCCUGAUGCAGCGACGCCGCGUGAGGGAUGACGGCCUUCGGGUUGUAAACCUCUUUCAGCUAUGACGAAGCGCAAGUGACGGUAGUAGCAGAAGAAGGACCGGCCAACUACGUGCCAGCCGCCGCCGUAAUAC
rnacentral:rRNA from 1 species